AGCCGUAAUGGCGAAAUGGUGGCGUGGCCUGAGAUCCGUGGCGGAGGUGGCUGAUCUUCCGGCAUCUUCAUUCGUUCAUCGGCUCGUGAUCGGACGAUUGGCCGGAUUCCCGCCGUGGUUUUUCCCCAGUCGGUUCUCGAAACGGAUGCUUCGAAGCGAGGCGUUUCGAUGAAGCAGAUUUUGACGGCUGAUAGGAAGCAGAUUAAGUGGAUUAUCGACUCGGUGGGUCUCCCGUUCUUGUGUUCGACAACUUUCAAAGCUCCAGAUUCAUAGAGAUGAAGAAAGUGGAAAGAUACUUAACUUAGUCUUCGUAUGGGCAGCUGAAGGUUGAUGUUCCUCUUGUUUUCAAAGGGCUAGAUAAUUGCCCCGGUAUCAAGAAAGGGGGGAAAUCUACGGUCAAUGAGAAGCAGUCUGAAACUUGUAGGCCCAGCGGAACACAUCCCAUCUAAAAUCGAAGUAGAUGUGAGCCAGCUGAACAUCGAGGACAAAGUGUUAUUGCAAGAUGUUGUAUUUCAUCCAUCGUUGAAGCUGUUGAGCAAGAAUGAAACAUUGCCUGUGUGUAAGAUUGCGGCCACAAGCCCGGUGAAAGAACAAGAAGCUGUUCAAGCAUAAGUAAAGUCUUGGAAAAGACGAACGUACAGUACGAUUUUACAUUGGACUCGGCUCUACACCCGUCUAUUUACAGUGAAAGUUGGCAGCAACAACAACAGUACAGGUCUCCUGAACAGUGAACCGUCUCCUUCCCAACGACCUAAGCUAUGCAUCUUUUCAGAACGCGUUUGUUUUGCACUAACCAAACGAUAUCAUUUUGAAGCUAUUGUGUAUAUAAUCUAAUCCAAUGUUGGAACGAUAGAAUAGGCUUCAAAGAGAGAGAAAGAGAGGUGUGUAUAAACUGAGGUCUUAUGUACAUUUGGUUUAGGAUUUGUACGCAUUUUUAGAUUUAGAUCCCAAUUCUUUUGAAGAAUUAUAACC